UUCUUCUUCUUUUUUUUUUUUUUUCAGAAAAAACACAAGACAAAAAAACCAUACGACUUUCUCACCAGCAUGAGGGAAUAUGCAAUACCAAUAAGAGCAGAACAGCCUCCUUGGACCCAUCUCUGGCCUGCAUCCCCCAUCUCCCACACAAGACAAGGUCUGCAGCUUUCUGACAUUGCCGAGUGACGAGCGUAAGAAGUCUCCCUUCCCUGGCCUCCUACUGGCUUCUUCCACUUCACUUCAACCCAGUCCCCCGAGAACGGUGAAGUACAUUGGCAUUUAAUAAUUGCACCAGUAAGCCAGUAUCCACCAAUGCGUGAUUGAGAGCAUGAGCAAGUUGUCAGGAACCCGACAAGCCAGGCAAGAGUGCAGGGGCCCUCAGAAGGCUCUGGAAGUCUGCAGCAGUUGCUAGCUGGCAUCAGAAACAGGUGACGUCGUCAUCAGGCCCGUCUGUGCUAGCUGCCACUGUUCAUGCUCUGUGUUUGGAGCACUUGGGGUCAGGUUCUCAAGAAAGGAAAGCAGAUCUGUCCAAAGCUCCCUUCGCCAGAAAAAGUCAACUGGACCCUGGAGGAACUCCAGCCCUAGACAAACCGAGACUGCAGAGCCAGCACAGUGGGGCACAAGGAAGCUCAGUGGGAGAAUAAAAGCAAACUAAAACCCUGUGUGGCAGUUGGACAUCGCAAAGGGGUCACAUUGCCAGGAUUUGCUGCUGUCGUUGAGUGUGGGGCCUCACUGUGACUG
rnacentral:lncRNA from 1 species